UACAGAGGUCCCAAGCGUUGUUCGGAUUCAUUGGGCGUAAAGGGUGCGUAGGCGGCGCGGUAAGUCGGGUGUGAAAUCUCGGAGCUUAACUCCGAAACUGCAUUCGAUACUGCCGUGCUUGAGGACUGGAGAGGAGACUGGAAUUACGGUGUAAGCGGUGAAAUGCGUAGAUAUCGUAAGGAAGACCAGUGGCGAAGGCGGGUCUCUGGACAGUUCCUGACGCUGAGGCACGAAGGCCAGGGGAGCAAACGGG
rnacentral:rRNA from 1 species